rnacentral:rRNA from 1 species
UACGGGGGGAGCAAGCGUUGUUCGGAUUUACUGGGCGUAAAGGGCGCGUAGGCGGCCACCGCAAGUCGACUGUGAAAUCUCCGGGCUUAACCCGGAAAGGUCAGCCGAUACUGCGGGGCUAGAGUGCAGAAGGGGCAACUGGAAUUCUCGGUGUAGCGGUGAAAUGCGUAGAUAUCGAGAGGAACACCUGCGGCGAAGGCGGGUUGCUGGGCUGACACUGACGCUGAUGUGCGGAAGCUAGGGGAGCGAACGGG